ensembl:lncRNA
GCCAUAUUCACUUUGCUGCCCAGUGUGUGUGUGAGAAGCUGAACUAACUAAACACUCGACUGUCUUGACAGUCGCCACGGUUUGCCCCGGAAUAACACAACCUACACGAGGCUCUUCUCCUCUUUCCUGCUCCCAGCACGGCACACGAGGCGUGAUAUCUCGACUCCUCCGUCCUGAAUAGCGGUUUUCUUAAAACAAACACCAUUAAUGAAGCAGUGCGCUGACAUCUGCAGGAAACCAACAACUAAAUGAAUGCGAGAAGCAACAUCCCAUCUCAGCCUUCCCACGCUACUGAAUCCUCCCACCACCAGUCAGUGUUGUCAAGGCGAUAUACAGUUGAUGUGCUGUAAAUUGAUUUCCGGGGAGAUGUGAUGGAUGAAUGGAAAAUGAACAUCUUCAUCAGUGACCUCUCCGCGCCGUCGUCUCAUUGCUUCUCCUCACGCCCGCCCAUGAUUGACAAGCGCGCUAACGAGCGCUGUCGCCGGUCCUGUUCUUAUUUCCCUGUGUGGGAAACACGGCGAGUCUCCGGCCCUACGGUAAUGAGCCCUACAAAGAGAAGGAGAGGACAGGAAGGAAGACUCGCCCUGAAGAGAUGGAAGACGGAAUGAAAGAAGUCCAAGUAAAUAAUAUAGAAAGGGCCAACAUGAAAGUAGAUUAAAAAGUUGAGAUUAUUGCCGGCAAAGGAAAGAGGCGUGUCAUUGUUUAUCUGUCUUCUACCCUGAUGGAUGUCUUUCUUGCUGAUGGUUUCAGCUACAACUUCAACCUAAUGGAUUCCUAGAGUGGGCUGGGAUUUCAAAAGACAAAAUGAGUCUUGGCGUAAUGAGCGGUUGUUAUAUAUUUGAUAUAUUAUAAUUGAUAUAGGGUAGCAGAGUGCGGUCCUUAUUGGACUUUAAACGUCUCCUUCAACGCAGACGAGAGCUUCCUUCUAACUUCACUGUUCAACACAAACGCCAAUCAAGGUGAUCACAAUUACAGGAAGACAAAAGAGAGCAGGCUUUUAAACUCUCAACAAAACUUUAUCGAUAUGAUGGAACUCAAGGUCAGGAAGCCAG